GAUGAACGCUGGCGGCGUGCUUAACACAUGCAAGUCGAACGGUGAAAGCGGAGCUUGCUCUGCUGGAUCAGUGGCGAACGGGUGAGUAACACGUGAGCAAUCUGCCCUUGACUCUGGGAUAAGCGCUGGAAACGGCGUCUAAUACCGGAUACGAGCUGCGAAGGCAUCUUCAGCAGCUGGAAAGAACUUCGGUCAAGGAUGAGCUCGCGGCCUAUCAGCUUGUUGGUGAGGUAACGGCUCACCAAGGCGGCGACGGGUAGCCGGCCUGAGAGGGUGACUGGCCACACUGGGACUGAGACACGGCCCAGACUCCUACGGGAGGCAGCAGUGGGGAAUAUUGCACAAUGGGCGCAAGCCUGAUGCAGCAACGCCGCGUGAGGGACGACGGCCUUCGGGUUGUAAACCUCUUUUAGCAGGGAAGAAGCGAAAGUGACGGUACCUGCAGAAAAAGAACCGGCUAACUACGUGCCAGCCGCCGCGGUAA
rnacentral:rRNA from 1 species